rnacentral:rRNA from 4 species
CCCGGUAGCUAAAUGCGGAAGAGAUAAGUGCUGAAAGCAUCUAAGCACGAAACUUGCCCCGAGAUGAGUUCUCCCUGAGACUUAGAGUCUCCUGAAGGAACGUUGAAGACGACGACGUUGAUAGGCCGGGUGUGUAAGCGCAGCGAUGCGUUGAGCUAACCGGUACUAAUGAACCGUGAGGCUUAACCUUACAACGCCGAAG